AACGAACGCUGGCGGCGUGCUUAACACAUGCAAGUCGAACGGAAAGGCCCUGCUUUUGUGUUGUGCUCGAGUGGCGAACGGGUGUGUAACGCGGGAGUAACCUGCCCUUGACGUUGGUAUAACUUCAGGAAACUGGGGCUAAUAGCGGAUAGGAGCUCCUGCUACAUGGGGGGGGUGGGAAAGUUUCGGCGGUUGGGGAUAGACUCGCGGCUGAUCAGCUUUUUGGGGGGGUAGUGGCUUACCAACGCUUUGAGGGGUAGCGCGCAUGGGAGGGUGGCCGGCGCCCUUGCGACUGCGAUACGGACCAGAUUCGUAUAGGAGGCAGUGGUGGGAAAUAUUGCAGAAUGGGCGGAAGCCGGAUGAAGAAACGCAGAGGGCGGGAUGACCGUUUACGGGUUGUAAACAGGUUUCGCAUGUGACGAAGCGUCAGUGACGGUAAUGGGUAAAGAAGCACCGGCUAACUACGUG
rnacentral:rRNA from 1 species